CCUACGGGAGGCAGCAGUGAGGAAUAUUGGUCAAUGGACGGAAGUCUGAACCAGCCAUGCCGCGUGCAGGAAGACGGCUCUAUGAGUUGUAAACUGCUUUUGUACAAGGGUAAACCUGAAUACGUGUAUUCAGCUGACAGUACUGUACGAAUAAGGAUCGGCUAACUCCGUGCCAGCAGCCGCGGUAAUACGGAGGAUCCAAGCGUUAUCCGGAUUUAUUGGGUUUAAAGGGUGCGUAGGCGGAUUGAUAAGUUAGAGGUGAAAUGUCCGAGCUUAACUCGGGAACUGCCUCUAAUACGGUUGGUCUAGAGAGUAGUUGCGGUAGGCGGAAUGUAUGGUGUAGCGGUGAAAUGCUUAGAGAUCAUACAGAACACCGAUUGCGAAGGCAGCUUACCAGUCUAUAUCUGACGUUGAGGCACGAAAGCGUGGGGAGCAAACAGGAUUAGAUACCCGUGUAGUC
rnacentral:rRNA from 1 species